AGUCGACUUGUUUCUGAUGUUUUUGUUUUCCUGGCAGACAUUCUACACGAACUUGCCCAAAGGCGGAAGGAAGGCACGCACAGAUGGACGCACAGAAAUCAUGGGGCUGCCGUAGAAGCUGUGAAUGAGCAUUAACCUACGUACAGAAAGGAGCGAAGUGGAGAUGUCCAUGGGCCGUGCACACAGUUUCAUAAGCAAGCUUGCAACACUUUUGACAAAUAUGUUCCUGAAUACAUCUGCCAAAGUGGCAUUUAAAGAAGCA